GAACCAGGCAAGCCUGUGCAUGCUUUCCACCUCAAGAGGCCCUGCGAGCUGACAGCUCUAAUAAAUGAAGAUGGUUUUCGUUUGAAGAAAAAUAUAGAUAUUGUUCAAGGAAAGGAAUCACAGGGGCCUUCACAUCAGGCCAUCAAAUCAGGUGGUGACCCAGUGGGAUCAACGAGGACAUUAAAACGACUGCAGAAAUGGCUGUGGAUCAAAAAAGCCAGAGUGCAGAGCCUGGAAGAGAUGAAGCCGGUGUUAAUAGAGCCCCGUG